GAUGAAGAACGUAGCGAAAUGCGAUAAGUAAUGUGAAUUGCAGAAUUCAGUGAAUCAUCGAAUCUUCGAACGCACAUUGCGCCCCUUGGUAUUCCGAGGGGCAUGCCUGUUCGAGCGUCAUUAUAACCCCUCAAGCUCAGCUUGGUGUUGGGGCCUGCUGCACUGGCAGCCCUUAAAAUCAGUGGCGGCGCCAUCUGGCUCUAAGCGUAGUAAUUCUUCUCGCUAUGGAGUCCUGGUGGAUGCUUGCCAUCAACCCCCAAUUUUUCUAUGGUUGACCUCGGAUCAGGUAGGGAUACCCGCUGAACUUAAGCAUAUCAAUAAGCGGAGGA
rnacentral:misc_RNA from 1 species